rnacentral:rRNA from 1 species
GACGAACGCUGGCGGCGUGCCUAAUACAUGCAAGUCGAGCGAAGUUUUUCUGGUGCUUGCCCUAGAAAAACUUAGCGGCGAACGGGUGUAUAACACGUAAAGAACCUGCCUCAUCGACUGGGACAACUAUUGGAAACGAUAGCUAAUACCGUAUAACAUUAUUUCUCGCAUGGGAGAUAUUUAAAAGUUGGUUAUGCUAACACUAUGAGAUGGCUUUUCGUUGCAUUAGCUAGUUGGUGGGGUAAAGGCCCACCAAGGCGACGAUGCAUAGCCGACCUGAGAGGGUGAUCGGCCACACUGGGACUGAGACACGGCCCAGACUCCUACGGGAGGCAGAAGUAGGGAAUCUUCCGCAAAGGGCGAAAGCCUGACGGAGCAACGCCGGGGGAGUGAAGAAGGAUUUCGGUUCGUAAAGCUCUGUUGUUAGGGAAGAAUGGAUAUGUAGUAACUAUACAUGUAAGAGACGGUACCUAGCCAGAAAGCCACGGCUAACUACGUG